rnacentral:rRNA from 1 species
AACGAACGCUGGCGGCAGGCUUAACACAUGCAAGUCGAGCGCCCCGCAAGGGGAGCGGCAGACGGGUGAGUAACGCGUGGGAAUCUACCCAUCUCUACGGAACAACUCCGGGAAACUGGAGCUAAUACCGUAUACGUCCUUCGGGAGAAAGAUUUAUCGGAGAUGGAUGAGCCCGCGUUGGAUUAGCUAGUUGGUGGGGUAAUGGCCUACCAAGGCGACGAUCCAUAGCUGGUCUGAGAGGAUGAUCAGCCACACUGGGACUGAGACACGGCCCAGACUCCUACGGGAGGCGGCAGUGGGGAAUAUUGGACAAUGGGCGAAAGCCUGAUCCAGCCAUGCCGCGUGAGUGAUGAAGGCCCUAGGGUUGUAAAGCUCUUUCACCGGUGAAGAUAAUGACGGUAACCGGAGAAGAAGCCCCGGCUAACUUCGUGCCAGCCGCCGCAGUAAAAC